UACGUAGGGCGCAAGCGUUAUCCGGAAUUAUUGGGCGUAAAGAGCUCGUAGGCGGUUUGUCGCGUCUGCCGUGAAAGUCCGGGGCUCAACCCCGGAUCUGCGGUGGGUACGGGCAGACUUGAGUGCAGUAGGGGAGACUGGAAUUCCUGGUGUAGCGGUGAAAUGCGCAGAUAUCAGGAGGAACACCGAUGGCGAAGGCAGGUCUCUGGGCUGUAACUGACGCUGAGGAGCGAAAGCGUGGGGAGCGAACAGG
rnacentral:rRNA from 1 species